UACGAAGGGGGCUAGCGUUGUUCGGAAUCACUGGGCGUAAAGCGCACGUAGGCGGAUCUUUAAGUCAGGGGUGAAAUCCCGAGGCUCAACCUCGGAACUGCCUUUGAUACUGGGGAUCUCGAGUUCGGGAGAGGUGAGUGGAACUGCGAGUGUAGAGGUGAAAUUCGUAGAUAUUCGCAAGAACACCAGUGGCGAAGGCGGCUCACUGGCCCGGAACUGACGCUGAGGUGCGAAAGCGUGGGGAGCAAACAGG
rnacentral:rRNA from 1 species